CUUGUAGUGAGUCCAGUGACACACGACUGGAGAGGCAACUUGGCACCGGGCGAGUUACAAUUGUAGACGGUCGACUGCCAGCACCAACUCCACUCUUUACCAUUUUAGACUCCCAAGUUCGUCCGAACUCCAACAAUCAAAAAAUCGUGUCAGAACUACAGGUAUUUGAGUUGAGCAGCAAAAACAUGGCGAAGGUUGCAGCUGAACCCAUUUCUCUAAGUGCAGCUCUAAGUUCUUCAGCUUCCUCAGUCCGCCGACGACAUAAAAGCUCAAGAAUUCGUGCUUCUCAGCCCCUCAAUGACAAAAGCAACUCCAAUAAACAACUUGGAAAAUGGAGGAAAAUUGGACCCAUGUCAGAAAUCAGAGUCUCUUCGGGGAGUGAUAAGAAGAAAAUAAUUUGCUAUACCUAGAUUCAAGAAGAAAGAAAAGAAAAGGGGAACAUUGAAAUCAUUGUUUUAAGAUAAGUUAAUUGGUGUCUCCUUCAGAAAAAUGAUAUAAAUACACAUAUAAUGCUUAAUGGGUCAAUUCGGCUAAUUAUAUAUGCUUCACUCCCCUUUCUUUUCUGUAGCUUUAACUUAUAUAAUAGGAGUAGCUUUGAUUUUACCUAUUUGGUAUGAGCCUAAGUAGCAUCUUUCAUCAUUAGUAAUUUAAUCACGAUAGAUUGACUAAUCAGUAUGCUUUUAACACUAAUUUGGGUGUUUUAAGUUUCUAGCAAACAAAGUUCAGAGUCUGGGAAUAAGAUUUGCUUGUUAACAGACAACAAGGUUGGGCUUCUUUUAUGCCAAAUAUGCAAUGCUUUUGACGUGUUUGGUGGGAGAAUAACAUUAUUUUCUGAUUAGCAGAUUGAACUGCCAAUUUUUUGGGGGAUAAAGUGGUAGCUGAGGCUUUUAUUAGCAACAGUUGGUACUUAUAUUUGUACUACUUUAGUUUGGGAGCUAUUUACUGAAGCUUGUGCAAUAGUUCAUGUCUGGCAAA